AAUUAAAUGCCUGAAAAAGGAUUACUUUGAUAGAGUAAAUUAUGUAGAAUAAAUACUACUUUAAUUA
rnacentral:tRNA from 1 species